GACGAACGCUGGCGGCGUGCUUAACACAUGCAAGUCGAACGGAAAGGCCCUGCUGUUGUGGGGUGCUCGAGUGGCGAACGGGUGAGUAACACGUGAGUAACCUGCCCUUGACUUUGGGAUAACUUCAGGAAACUGGGGCUAAUACCGGAUAGGAGCUCCUGCUGCAUGGGGGGGGUUGGAAAGUUUCGGCGGUUGUGGAUUGACUCGCGGGUUAUCAGCUUGAUGGUGGGGUAGUGGCUUACCCACGCUUUGAUGGGUAGCCCGCCUUAGAGAGUGACCGGCAACCUUGGGGCUGAGAUACGGCCCAGACUGCUACGGGAGGCAGCAGUAGGGAGCAUUGCACAAUGGGCGGAAGCCUGAUGCGGCAACGCCGCGUGCGGGAUAACUGCCUUCGGGUUAUAAACCGCUUUCGCCUGUGACGAAGCGUGAGUGACGGUAAUGGCUAAAGAAGCACCGGCUAACUACGUG
rnacentral:rRNA from 1 species